GCAGCAGGGGGACAGUUUCCUUUGUGACCGGAGCUGCACACUUAUAUAAAAGCACUUUGGCAGUUAUGGAGUCAUCUGACAUUCGAAGGAAAAAAAUAGCUGUCAUUGGUGGUGGCUUGGUUGGAUCAUUAAAUGCAUGCUUCCUUGCAAAGAGGAAUUUCCAAGUUGAUGUAUAUGAAGCUAGGGAAGAUAUCCGAGUGGCUAAAUUUGCACGUGGAAGAAGCAUUAACUUGGCCCUUUCUUAUAGAGGACGACAAGCCUUGAACGCCAUUGGCCUGGAAGAUCAGGUUGUAUCCCAAGGCAUCCCCAUGAGAGCAAGAAUGAUUCACUCUCUUUCAGGGAAAAAGUCUGCAAUUCCCUAUGGGACCAAGUCACAGUAUAUUCUUUCUAUAAGCAGAGAAAAUCUAAACAAGGACCUAUUGACUGCUGUUGAGAAAUACCCCAAUGCAAAGGUGCACUUUGGCCACAGGCUGUUGAAAUGUAAUCCUGAGGAAGGAGUGAUCACAGUGCUUGGAUCUGACAAAGUUCCCAUAGAUGUCACUUACGACCUCAUUGCAGGAUGUGAUGGAGCAUACUCCACUGUCAGAAGUCACCUCAUGAAGAAACCCCGCUUUGAUUACAGUCAGCAGUACAUUCCUCAUGGGUACAUGGAGCUCACCAUCCCACCCAAGAAUGGGGAUUAUGCCAUGGAACCUAAUUAUCUGCAUAUUUGGCCUAGAAAUACCUUUAUGAUGAUUGCGCUUCCUAACAUGAACAGAUCUUUCACGUGUACUUUGUUCAUGCCCUUUGACGAGUUUGAAAAACUUGUAACCAGCAGUGAUGUGCUGGAUUUCUUCCAGAAGUACUUUCCAGAUUCCAUCCCUCUAAUUGGAGAGCAAACCCUGGUACAAGAUUUUUUCCUGUUGCCGGCACAGCCCAUGAUAUCUGUGAAGUGCUCUUCUUUUCACCUGAAGUCACACUGUGUGCUGAUGGGGGACGCAGCUCACGCCAUUGUGCCCUUUUUUGGGCAAGGAAUGAAUGCAGGCUUUGAAGACUGCUUGGUAUUUGAUGAGUUAAUGGAUAAAUUCAACAAUGACCUUAAUGAGAGCACAUGUCAACUCGAGGUGGUUCGUCUUCCAAAAGAACAUGGAAAGAUUUCUUCAUGCUCUUAUGCCAUCUACCUUUGUCCCUCUCUAUACCAUGGUCACCUUUUCCAGAAUAAGAUACCAUGAGGCAGUGUUGCGCUGGCGCUGGCAGAAGAAGGUCAGAACAAGUCGAAGUUCAUCGUGCUACGGUUUGGUCUUCAGGCAGAUUCAGAAACGAUGGGAUAGACAGCAAAUGUUUGCUUCCAAAUAAAAACUGUCCUGGCACACAGAGGGUGAUAAACAAAGGACUCUUUUUCUUUGGGGCACUGAUAGCCAUUGGUAGUACCUACCUAUUUAUGAGCUCCAUGUCACUGAGACCCCUGCACUACUUCAGAAGACCAUGGGACUGGCUCACUUCCUUCCAGAUAACAGGACAUGUUUCCCUGCAAACUCUAUGGAGUCACUAGAAAAAAAUCCCGAUAUCAUUAGCAGGUGAUAUAAAGAUUCUGAAGUGGCAAAUGGAUUUCUUUUUAACUAAAACUAAGGAUCAAAACCAUGUUUCUAUCAUCAUCUUUAAUUCACUAUUGAAAAAUAUAUGUCAGCUUACAAUUAAAUUCAGUAUAGAAUUUC